GAUUAAGAACGUAGCGAAAUGCGAUAAGUAAUGUGAAUUGCAGAAUUCAGUGAAUCAUCGAAUCUUUGAACGCACAUUGCGCCCGCCAGUAUUCUGGCGGGCAUGCCUGUCCGAGCGUCAUUUCAACCCUCGAACCCCUCCGGGGGGUCGGCGUUGGGGACCUCGGGAGCCCCUAAGACGGGAUCCCGGCCCCGAAAUACAGUGGCGGUCUCGCCGCAGCCUCUCCUGCGCAGUAGUUUGCACAACUCGCACCGGGAGCGCGGCGCGUCCACGUCCGUAAAACCCCCAACUUCUGAAAUGUUGACCUCGGAUCAGGUAGGAAUACCCGCUGAACUUAAGCAUAUCAAUAAGCGGAGGA
rnacentral:misc_RNA from 1 species